AUAGUUUUUUAUAUAGCUAAAUUUGAUGUUGGCUUAUAAGCAAUUGAAUUUUGAGUGUUUUAUCUUAUGGAAAUUUUUACAAACAUUUUAGAAGCUGGUGUUUAACAUGAUUUUAGAAGCUGGUGUUUAACAUGAUUUGACAGAUGUUAGUCUAUCUUUUCUACAACAAACAUUGUAAAAGCCGGAUAACAGUUUUGUUAGCUAAAAAUAUUAUUAGUGUAUGACUUUUUCUAUAUUUAUCUUUAUAAUCUUUAUUCUAAGUAACAUUACCUUGUUAAUACUGUUGUUUUCGAUAUUCACGGGGCUAACGAUUUUCUUUUGCUAAACACAACUCAAUUGGCCGAUUUAUAAGUUAGAAUGGUUAUACUUUGACUUAUACAAAUAUUUUGUAUGUUAGCCGGUAUUUAAUUUUUGUUUACUGGAUAUUUAAACAAUUGACGAUUUGAUAUUUCAGAUGUCACCGAGACUUAUGUUUACUCGAAUACAUAAACUUAGUAACCUUUUCAUACCGAAAUGGCAUCUUGGAUAUCUCUAUUAUUAGCUGUUUAUGUAAAACUAAAAAAAUUAUUCACUAUGAAAUAAGCCGGUUAUAAUAAUUUGCAUAUCGCGAAAUUUAAUGUUUGUUACAUGCAAUUAAGUUUUGAGUGUGUAUAACGAAAUUAGCAUCACGAUUUGAAUCACAUAAAACAGUCACAAAAUUAUCAAUUGCAGUCACUCCCAUCUAUCACGAUUCACAUCAGAUGAGUCUCUACUGGAAUUGUGACGGCAAAGCUCACGGCAAUAAUUGGUUUGUCGCUAAUCACACGGAGAUGCAUGCAGCACAUGGUAGACACUCACGCCAUCAAAGCCAUGGAUCUUUAUCUCGGCCUUAUCUUUUUCAUUUGUGGUUUAUGGGUCACUCUUGACGAUGUUAUUGGCCAGAGCCAAGACAGCUCGCAUCAACCCCACAGUACAAAACAUAAACUCUCCAUGGAGUACAUGAUCUUAUAAACUAGAUUGAUCCUGCCAGGAACCUCAUCUGGGUGAGAGGACAAGUUCCUGGCGCAGAAGGGAACUUUGUGUUUAUUAACGAUGCGUGCUACAAGAAGCCAGACAUCUCAAAGCUUCCAUUCCCAACGUACUUAGCACCAGAAGACGAGGAUCCAUCAGAAUUAGAACCCUUGGUGGCAGAUCUAGGAGAAGUCGACCCAUUUAUGUUGGCAGAGUGAUGUCGUUUUCAUUUUUUUUUUUUUUUUAACGUUUGUGCAAGACAAGAAGCUGAGGACGUGGAGAGUCAGUCAGUCCAGUCACAGAGCUAAAGCUGGGAAAAAUUGUACUAUUUCUCUUAUUUUAGUUGUUUGGAUGUAUGAAACUGAAAACAUGAAGAGAGAGAAAUUGAGUCUCUCGCGCAUUUGUUCAAUCUUAGAUGCUUUUAAGAGUUUGCAAUAAGCAAUGAAAGAGACAAAAAGGACUUUACAUUUCAUCUUAUGAUCCAAUUUUGUAAGGCCUCUCUCUCUAUAUAAAGUAAACAACUCCCAAUAGAAUACAGUUUGCGUUCCUAAUCUCGUUGACUUAGCCAUGAAUCAAGAACAGAACCUACGUCAAUGCGCAGCCUGCGGGGAACAAGAAGCCUUCUUCACCUACGCCGUCAGAAAAAACAAGAAUCUCCGGCGACUCUGCACCGACUGUUUACUCAGGGAGCAUCGUAACCUCUUCUGCCCAAUUUGUCUCGACGUCCCUCCUCCAGAAGAGAGCAUCGUCUGCCUCAAUUGCCCUUCCAUCACCCACCUCGAUUGCCCUCCUCGGCCGUCUUCCUCCGCUUCUCCCUUCACAUGCCCGCCGUGCUCUGAACCCAAUUUCUCCUUCUUCCCCAAAUCUUCUCACUCGACGGUUCUUGACCAAGAAUCAGCCGACGCUCUCGUGGCAGCGGCCAUAAUCUCGGCAUUUUUGAUGAACAACGAGGCGGCUGAGUUAAAGAAGGAAGCACAUAAGAAGAUCUUCGCAGCCAAAGAUGUAAAGAAACACGUUUUUGAAUGGUAGGUACAACAAUAAGUUGUAUCAAGAAGGUGUUUGUUGAUUAAUUCAACAACACAUUUCUUUUGUGUUCUUUUGGUAGGUGCAACAAGAAGUUUCACCAACUCCCCAUAAUCUCCUAUAAAUAACCACACAAGGAGAAGAAGAAGAUCAUCCCAAAAAAACAAGAAAAACAGAGAGAAGAAGAAGAGAAGAAGAAGAGAAAAAACGUGAGAGAGAGAAAAAAAAAAAAAAAAAAAAACCUUUUUUUUUUUUUUUUUUUUUUUUUUUUACAAAAAAUCUUCUUUAAGAAAUUACGAGUAAUUUCUGAGUGUAUUUGGGAUCGGGGUGUGAGUUGAGAGCUUGUAAAAAUUUCCCGGGUUGAUAAUAAAAGAUCUGUAGCAGGUCCGGAGACGUAGGCAAAAGUUGGCCGAACUCCGUUAACAAUUUUGUGUGUGUUUUCCCGCUCCCACAAAUUCUGCAAAUUCUGGUUUUCCGCAAAAUUUGACCGCAUAUUUCCUAACAAAAGAGGCCAAGAGGAGAGCUAAGGAAGCUUUGGCAAAUCUUCAGGACCUUGUUCUCAAGCAAAAAAGCUUCGGAGAUGAAGAAUAGUAAACACAUCCAAGAAAAUAUGAUACUGCAUUGCUGUUUUCGUUUGGAAACUGAGAUAGGAGACACAUUGCAUUGCUGUUUCGCUUGCUGUUUUCUUUUGUUCUAUCUUUAUCAUCAAUAUGACGGAAACCGGAAGAAUGAAUUAAUCUUUA